CGGAGAGCGGACCCCAGAGAGCCCUGAGCAGCCCCACCACCGCCGCCCGCCUAGUUACCAUCACACAUCGGGAGGAGCCGCAGCUGCCGCAGCCGGCCCCAGUCACCAUCACCGCAACCAUGAGCAGCGAGGCCGAGACCCAGCAGCCGCCCGCUGCCCUGACCUCAGCGCUGCCACACCAAGCCCCCGGCACUACAGGCAGCGGCGCAGGGAGCGGUGGCCCGGGUGGCCUCACAUCGGUGGCACCUGCCGGCGGGGACAAGAAGGUCAUCGCAAGGAAGGUUUUGGGAACAGUAAAAUGGUUCAAUGUGAGAAACGGAUAUGGUUUCAUCAACAGGAAUGACACCAAGGAAGAUGUAUUUGUACACCAGACUGCCAUAAAGAAGAAUAAUCCCAGGAAGCACCUUCGCAGUGUAGGAGAUGGAGAGACUGUGGAGUUUGAUGAUGUUGAAGGAGAAAAGGGUGCGGAGGCAGCUAAUGUUACAGGCCCUGGUGGAAUUCCAGUUCAAGGCAGUAAAUACGCAGCAGACCGUAACCAUCAUAGGUCCUCCAUGCAAUUACCAGCAGAAUUACCAGAAUAGCCAGAGUGGGGAAAAGGAGGAGGGAUCUGAGCGUGCUCCUGAAGGCCAGGCCCAACAACGCCGGCCCUACCGCAGGCGAAGGUUCCCACCUUACUAUGUGCAGAGACCCUAUGGGCGUCCACCACAGUAUUCCAACCCUCCUGUGCAGGGAGAAGUGAUGGAGGGUGUUGACAACCAGGGCACAGGAGAACAAGGUAGACCAGUAAGACAGAAUAUGUAUCCGGAUUAUAGACCACGAUUCCGCAGGGGCCCUCCUGACCAAAGACAGCCCAGAGAGGACGGCAAUGAAGAGGAUGAAGAGAAUCAAGGAGAUGAGACCCAAGGUCAGUAGCCGCCUCAACGUUGGUACGGUUGCAACUUCAAUUACGGACGCAGACACCCAGAAAACCCUAAACCACAAGAUGGCCAAGAGACAAAAGCAGCCCAUCCACCAGCUGAGAAUUCGUCCACUCCAGAGGCUGAGCAGGGCGGGGCUGAGUAA